rnacentral:rRNA from 1 species
AGCAGCCGCGGUAAUUCCAGCUCCAAUAGCGUAUAUUAAAGUUGUUGCAGUUAAAAAGCUCGUAGUUGAAUUUCGGGGUCAGUAGAUUGGUCGUGCCUCUGGUACGUACUGGUCUUACUGGCUCCUCCUUCCUGAUGAACCGUAAUGCCAUUAAUUUGGUGUUGCGGGGAGACUGGACUGUUACUUUGAAAAAAUUAGAGUGUUUAAAGCAGGCUAACGCUUGAAUACAUUAGCAUGGAAUAAUGAAAUAGGACGUUCGAUCUUAUUUUGUUGGUUUCUAAGAUUGACGUAAUGAUUAAUAGGGAUAGUUGGGGGCAUUAGUAUUCAAUUGUCAGAGGUGAAAUUCUUGGAUUUAUUGAAGACUAACUACUGCGAAAGCAUUUGCCAAGGAUGUUUUCAUUAAUCAAGAACGAAAGUUAGGGGAUCGAAGACGAUCAGAUACCGUCGUAGUCUUAACCAUAAACUAUGCCGACUAGGGAUCGGAUGAUGUUAAUU